rnacentral:rRNA from 1 species
AUCAGCCUUUUGGGCAUGACUCUGUGGAGCGUGAGGAGUUAAACGCCUUCAUGCCUGCAUAUUCGUGUACUUUGGGUGUACUUGCCUGUGUGGUUAGUUAACAUCAAUUUUGGUUAUCAUAAAAUGGCUGGAGGAAUGUAGCUUCGAUCUCGUAUUGAAGUGUUAUAGCCUUCGGCAGAUGUGAUGAUCGGGAUUGAGGAUUGCAACGGAUACCCUUCGGGGCUACCUGUCUGGUCUCUGAUCGUUGCUCUGGUGCCGAAAGCGUGCUUACGGUUAUCAAAGUCGAUGGUCAACAGGUUAGAACGGGUUAAAUUCGUUAAGGAUGUUGACGUAAUGGCUUU